AGCGUAGGCGGUGAAGUAAGUUAGAUGUGAAAGCCCGGGGCUCAACCUCGGGACUGCAUUUAAAACUGCUUUGCGGGAGUGCAGGAGAGGAAAGCGGAAUUCCUAGUGUAGCGGUGAAAUGCGUAGAUAUUAGGAGGAACACCAGUGGCGAAGGCGGCUUUCUGGACUGUAACUGACGCUGAGGCUCGAAAGCGUGGGGAGCGAACA
rnacentral:rRNA from 1 species